UCCAUAGUAGUCAAAUGGUUGAGACUCUGUGCUUCCAAUGCAGGGGGCACAGGUUUGAUCCCUGAUUCGGGAA
rnacentral:tRNA from 1 species